UUUGCGUCGAAGGUAUACCGGUAAGGAGUGCUGGAGCGAAUAGAAGUGAGCAUGCAGGCAUGAGUAGCGAUAAUUAAUGUGAGAAUCAUUAACGCCGUAAACCCAAGGUUUCCUACGCGAUGCUCGUCAUCGUAGGGUUAGUCGGGUCCUAAGUCGAGUCCGAAAGGGGUAGACGAUGGCAAAUUGGUUAAUAUUCCAAUACCAACAUUAGUGUGCGAUGGAAGGACGCUUAGGGCUAAGGGGGCUAGCGGAUGGAAGUGCUAGUCUAAGGUCGUAGGAGGUUAUACAGGCAAAUCCGUAUAACAAUACUCCGAGAACUGAAAGGCUUUUUGAAGUCUUCGGAUGGAUAGAAGAACCCCUGAUGCCGUCGAGCCAAGAAAAGUUUCUAAGUUUAGCUAAUGUUGCCCGUACCGUAAACCGACACAGGUGGGUGGGAUGAGUAUUCUAAGGCGCGUGGAAGAACUCUCUUUAAGGAACUCUGCAAAAUAGCACCGUAUCUUCGGUAUAAGGUGUGGUUAGCUUUGUAUUAGGAUUUACUCCGAAAGCAAGGAAACUUACAACAAAGAGUCCCUCCCGACUGUUUACCAAAAACACAGCACUCUGCUAACUCGUAAGAGGAUGUAUAGGGUGUGACGCCUGCCCGGUGCUCGAAGGUUAAUUGAUGGGGUUAGCAUUAGCGAAGCUCUUGAUCGAAGCCCGAGUAAACGGCGGCCGUAACUAUAACGGUCCUAAGGUAGCGAAAUUCCUUGUCGGUUAAAUACCGACCUGCAUGAAUGGCGUAACGAGAUGGGAGCUGUCUCAAAGAGGGAUCCAGUGAAAUUGUAGUGGAGGUGAAAAUUCCUCCUACCCGCGGCAAGACGGAAAGACCCCGUGGACCUUUACUACAGCUUGACAUUGCUACUUGGAUAAGAAUGUGCAGGAUAGGUGGGAGGCUUUGAGUAUAUGACGCCAGUUGUAUAUGAGCCAUUGUUGAGAUACCACUCUUUCUUAUUUGGGUAGCUAACCAGCUUGAGUUAUCCUCAAGUGGGACAAUGUCUGGUGGGUAGUUUGACUGGGGCGGUCGCCUCCCAAAUAAUAACGGAGGCUUACAAAGGUUGGCUCAGAACGGUUGGAAAUCGUUCGUAGAGUAUAAAGGUAUAAGCCAGCUUAACUGCAAGACAUACAAGUCAAGCAGAGACGAAAGUCGGUCUUAGUGAUCCGGUGGUUCUGUGUGGAAGGGCCAUCGCUCAAAGGAUAAAAGGUACCCCGGGGAUAACAGGCUGAUCUCCCCCAAGAGCUCACAUCGACGGGGAGGUUUGGCACCUCGAUGUCGGCUCAUCGCAUCCUGGGGCUGGAGCAGGUCCCAAGGGUAUGGCUGUUCGCCAUUUAAAGCGGUACGCGAGCUGGGUUCAGAACGUCGUGAGACAGUUCGGUCCCUAUCUGCCGUGGGCGUAAGAAGAUUGAAGAGAUUUGACCCUAGUACGAGAGGACCGGGUUGAACAAACCACUGGUGUAGCUGUUGUUCUGCCAAGAGCAUCGCAGCGUAGCUAAGUUUGGAAAGGAUAAACGCUGAAAGCAUCUAAGCGUGAAGCCAACUCUAAGAUGAAUCUUCUCUAAGCUCUCUAGAAGACUACUAGUUUGAUAGGCUGGGUGUGUAAUGGAUGAAAGUCCUUUAGCUGACCAGUACUAAUAGAGCGUUUGGCUUAUCUUUAAUAAAGCAU
rnacentral:rRNA from 1 species